rnacentral:miRNA from 1 species
CGAUCUUAAAAGUCCAACUUUUAAGAUCAGUCACGAUAAUAGCCGAUCUUAAAAGCUGGACUUUUAAGAUUG